UACGUAGGGGGCAAGCGUUGUCCGGAUUCAUUGGGCGUAAAGAGCGUGUAGGCGGCCUGGUAGGUCGGUUGUGAAAACUGGAGGCUCAACCGUCAGAGGUCGACCGAAACCAUCUGGCUAGAGUCCGGGAGAGGAGAGUGGAAUUCCUGGUGUAGCGGUGAAAUGCGCAGAUAUCAGGAAGAACACCCGUGGCGAAAGCGGCUCGCUGGAACGGUACUGACGCUGAGACGCGAAAGCGUGGGGAGCGAACAGG
rnacentral:rRNA from 1 species